rnacentral:lncRNA from 1 species
CCAACCACCGGGCUGCUGCGCCCCUGCGUGCCCUCCCUCCUGUCGCACUCCAGUCCCACCGGAAGGGACGGGACCCCGUGGCGCCCGGCCAGCAGUACCCCCCUGAGGGCCUAGGAGGCAAGAGGAGAUGAAGGAAAGGCUGAAGAACUGGGUGUGCCCCAGAGGAUUUCACAGGACAGUGUCUUCUUGCGGGAUACACACUAGGAGCUAAACAUCUGUUGCCUGUACGAGAAUGAUAACUAGUCCACGAACAGCUUCCUGAUGCAUCCUGGGAGGUCUUGGCAGAGCCAUUCAGGGUCACCGUGUUAUCCAGAAAUGGCAGCCACUGGCUACGCGUGACGGGUCAAAUGUACAUAUUGAAAAUGUGAAGCCUCACUGGGCCUGGUAGCGCAUACCUUUAAUCCCAGCACUUGGGAGGCAGAGGCAGGCGGAUUUCUGAGUUCGAGGCCAGCCUGGUCUACAAAGAACGCCUUGGACUCUGCCUUCCAGAUACAGAAUCCUAGCAGAGGGGCUGUCUCAGUGGGGAGGAGUGCUGACUGGAAAAAUGAGAGUCUGAGUUCAAAUUUCUAGAAAUUGUGCUUAAUAAGAAGAAGAA